rnacentral:lncRNA from 1 species
UAAUGAACUGGUAACCCCAUAACAUUACCAGAUAGAGUCAAAUAUUGAACCUUUUCUACUGGUAGAGAAUCCUGAUUUGGAAGUGGCUGUUUCAGAUGUCUUGGUUUUUGUUUGUUUGUUUGUUGUUUUUUUCUUUGUUGUUGUUUUUUCUUUGAAUGCUGUGGAAAUUUGUUCAUUUGUGCACAUACUCAUUUGGAAAAUAAGAUGAAACCAUACUUUGUUACACAGAAUUCACAAUUAACAAGAACACAUAAAAAUAUUGCCUUGGAAAUAGUGUCUCUCACUAUGCUGCCCAGGUCUCAGGUCCUAGGCUCAUGUGAUUGUCAUCCUCUCACAAGGACCUGGAAAUAGAUGUGUAGCCACUGUGCCAGGGAGUAUUACUUCUUAAAAGAUUUUGUCAGUGUUAUAUAGAUUGCUUUCUAUAUCAUUUGUUUGAUUCUUUAAUGUGUGUGUGUGUGUGUGUGUGUGUGUGUGUGUGAAUGCCAGAGGAUAACUUGUGAAGGUUGAUUUUCUCUCUCCACUGUGUGAAGAUAGCCAGCUCAGAUUGUCUGGUUUGGCUGCAGGUGUCUACCCAAUGAGCCAUAUUAUUGGACUAAAAAUUUCUUAAAGAAAACAAACAUAGAAGGUAAAACGAAAGAAGGCAGGCAAAUGUAGUGAAAUAAUGUAAGAUUUGCUAUUAAAAGAUAUCUGAAUUUGAAUUUUAGUCUCGUCAUAUAUUGGUUUUGUGACUUUGAGUACAUUUCAUUAAUCACUAUGAGUCUUGGUAGUCUAAUCCAUAACAUGAAAAUCAAGAUACCUGCCCUACAGGAUAUUUUGAAUAGGAAGUGGACAUGAAGCAAUAACUGUAAUGUUAGUUAACUAACUUUCUCUUCAUUGCCAUCCAUCUACAGUGAUAACUAAUAGUGGUAUAAAUAAGAAGCCAAAUCUGUUUCCAGCAGUUUACGUAUUUAUUUUUUUCCUUAUCUAUGUGCAUGGGUCUUUUGACUGCAUCUGUAUGUGCACAAUGUGACUGCUUGGUAUCUGUGGGAUCUAGAAGAAGGUGUUGGAUCUCCACAUGGAACUGGAGUUACUUGUGACUGAGUCACUAUGUUUGUGUUUGUGUUUGCCUGUGUGUGAAUGCAGUGCUGGGAAGUAAACUUGGGACCUCUGUAAGAGCAGCAAGUGCUCUUAACUGCUGAGCCAGUUCUCUAACAACUCCUAGUCUUCUUAAAAUAGCUGCAAUUAGAAAUCUGGUAAAUUGGGAAAUAAUAGCAGUGAACUCUUUCUGAUAGCCCAAAGUUUCUCUCUAAUUUAGGUAAGCUCACAGCUUGCUUGCAUUUAAUUAAUCUAUCUAUCUAUCUAUCUAUCUAUCUAUCUAUCUAUCUAUCUAUCUAUUUUUACCUAGACAAGCAGUCUCCCUGUUAUGGAAUAUGUUAACUUUUAGGUACUUUAUAGAACUCUGAUGAUGUAUAUAAAGGUACAAACUUUUCAUCAGCUUUGCUUUAGGAUUCACAAGUGUUAUUUUGGAAAUUGUGAGGAUGGAGGAAAGUCUGUAUGCAAACAUUGAUUAUUUCCGUUACUCCUGUGCACAAGAAGUUUUGCUAGAAGGAUGUAUGUGGGCCUAAAUGAAAUGUAGUUUAAGUACUAAUCACUCUAAUAUGAUACUUCACGUUUAGUCCAAGGAUUUUUCAAAAAGAUAUGUUUUCC